UCAGGAUGAACGCUAGCGGCAGGCUUAACACAUGCAAGUCGAGGGGCAGCGGGAUGUAGCAAUACAGUUGCCGGCGACCGGCGGAUGGGUGCGUAACGCGUAUGCAACCUACCUUAUACAGGGGAAUAACCUUUCGAAAGGGAGACUAACACCCCAUAGUAUUGAUUUAAGGCAUCUUAGAUUAAUUAAAUAUUUAUAGGUAUAAGAUGGGCAUGCGUAUGAUUAGCUAGUUGGUAAGGUAACGGCUUACCAAGGCGACGAUCAUUAGGGGUUCUGAGAGGAAGGUCCCCCACACUGGUACUGAGACACGGACCAGACUCCUACGGGAGGCAGCAGUGAGGAAUAUUGGUCAAUGGGCGCAAGCCUGAACCAGCCAUGCCGCGCGCAGGAAAGACGGCCUUAUGGGUUGUAAACUGCUUUUACAUAAGACUAACCGUAUAUUUGCGAAUAUACCUGAAUGUAUUAUGAGAAUAAGGAUCGGCUAACUCCGUGCCAGCCGCAGC
rnacentral:rRNA from 1 species